GUAGGUCUGUCAUACAAACAUCUCUUACGCCUACUAUGUAACAUCGGUAAUGCUAUUAAUGUAUUAGUGUGAUUUGCCCCUUCCUUACAUAUUCACAAACACCACGAACUGUAUGUAACUCUCACACCGUUUCCCAUAUAUCUACAAAUCAAGGGAUCGUUGUGGUUGACGUAUUUACUUUUGGAGCAAAGAGCAGCACAAGUCUCCCUUUGUAGCGUUUUUCAUUACCGAAUAUUUUCUACCUCGUGCCAUACCAGAACCAGCGUGUGCACUACCUAACUAGAGCUCGUGUCUGGAACAGUUUUUCACCAAAACGUGUUCAAACGUUGCCGGGAAAACAUCGUAUUAUCAAGGAAUCUGCAAUAGUUUGUUUGAUAACACAAGUUAUUAGUGUGCAAAGCAAAAUUCGGUUAAAAAAUCACAGUGUCCCGUACUACAAGUCGUAGGGAGUAUUACUGAUCAAAACUGAAAGCUGCAUUUCAAUCAUAUAAAUACAAAUAUUCAAAAGGCUGGUAACCAUCUGUUCGGAAUCCGUAACAUCAAGAUAUAAUAGCAUAAGUACAUGUCAUAAACAUGUCGUAAAUUUGUAAUAUAUCAAUGUGAACAACUCCAAAUGUAUAUGUAACGCUUUGAUUUAGCAUGGGAUUCAAACAUUUAAAGAUACGAAUAAAUUCCCAUUUAUUCCAUCUGA